UACAGAGGGUGCGAGCGUUGUCCGGAAUCACUGGGCGUAAAGGGCGCGUAGGCGGGUUGUCAAGUCCGGGGUGAAAUCCUCUCGCUCAACGAGAGAACUGCCCCGGAUACUGGCAACCUCGAGGAAGGUAGGGGCAUGUGGAACUUCCGGUGGAGCGGUGAAAUGCGUAGAUAUCGGAAGGAACGCCGGUGGCGAAAGCGACGUGCUGGACCUUUUCUGACGCUGAGGCGCGAAAGCCAGGGGAGCAAACGGG
rnacentral:rRNA from 1 species